GAUGAACGCUGGCGGCGUGCCUAAUACAUGCAAGUCGAGCGAACGGACGAGAAGCUUGCUUCUCUGAUGUUAGCGGCGGACGGGUGAGUAACACGUGGAUAACCUACCUAUAAGACUGGGAUAACUUCGGGAAACCGGAGCUAAUACCGGAUGAUAUUUUGAACCGCAUGGUUCAAAAGUGAAAGACGGUCUUGCUGUCACUUAUAGAUGGAUCCGCGCUGCAUUAGCUAGUUGGUAAGGUAACGGCUUACCAAGGCAACGAUGCAUAGCCGACCUGAGAGGGUGAUCGGCCACACUGGAACUGAGAAACGGUCCAGACUCCUACGGGAGGCAGCAGUAGGGAAUCUUCCGCAAUGGGCGAAAGCCUGACGGAGCAACGCCGCGUGAGUGAUGAAGGUCUUCGGAUCGUAAAACUCUGUUAUUAGGGAAGAACAUAUGUGUAAGUAACUGUGCACAUCUUGACGGUACCUAAUCAGAAAGCCACGGCUAACUACGUG
rnacentral:rRNA from 1 species